AUUGAACGCUGGCGGCAUGCCUUACACAUGCAAGUCGAACGGUAACAGGUUAAGCUGACGAGUGGCGAACGGGUGAGUAAUGUAUCGGAACGUGCCCAGUCGUGGGGGAUAACUACUCGAAAGAGUGGCUAAUACCGCAUACGACCUGAGGGUGAAAGCGGGGGACCGUAAGGCCUCGCGCGAUUGGAGCGGCCGAUAGCAGAGUAGCUAGUUGGUGGGGUAAAAGCCCACCAAGGCGACGAUCUGUAGCUGGUCUGAGAGGACGACCAAGCACACUGGGACUGAGACACGGCCCAGACUCCUACGGGAGGCAGCAGUGGGGAAUUUUGGACAAUGGACGCAAGUCUGAUCCAGCCAUGCCGCGUGCGGGAAGAAGGCCUUCGGGUUGUAAACCGCUUUUGUCAGGGAAGAAACGAGUUUCUCUAAUACAGAGACUUAAUGACGGUACCUGAAGAAUAAGCACCGGCUAACUACGUGCCAGCCGCCGCGGUAAUAC
rnacentral:rRNA from 1 species